AAUAUUAUCCAGGAGUAAUACUGAUCUGCAAGAAGUGUUGGACAAGUUCCAGUGUUCAAAAGAGCCUAGGACUAGAGGAAUGAGGAAUUAACGGUCCCAGUGGUGUUUAUGGCCUGGCUGAGCGUGUCUGGGUGACGUGCGUGUGUGACUCCUCACCAAGGUGCUGUUUUACGAGUGGUGUUUCAUGCCCACAGGGGUUCUGUCAGCUCUUCCUCACAAUUGCCCUGUGAAAGUGAAGACAGUCGGCCUGGAGGAAGGACCGGGGGAGAAGAUGAAGAGAAGAGUCCUCGGUGAGGAGGCUGUCUGGAGUUCAGAGAAGCUCCUGGGAGGAAGCGGAAAGCAAAGAGGCGCUCGAAGCCAAAGCCCAAACUGCCCCCCCGUUCCUGACCGUUACAUCGAAGCACUAGAGGUACGCUGUACAGAUCUUUGUGCUUAUAGUGUCACCUUUAAUUGUGGAAACGUUUAGUAAGGUGGAUGGUGGUCCUUUACAAAUGCUUUAUAGGUGUGUUCACUCGUGCAUUUAAUUGCUUCUUGUGGACCCAUACCCAACAGCUACAAGUCACUGUUUUUACACUGUGCUCGUGUCUGUGUGCUCAUGAAAUACACAAGACCACUGUACCCAGAUUACUGUUAAGCUGUUAUGGGAGAGAAAUGCAGGUUUUUUAGAUCAGUUGUACCACAGGAGGGCUUUUCCUUUCUGCCGGUUGAGCUAAACAGCGCUGACAGAAAGGACAAAGGUGAGGGAGGUGAGGGGAGGUGAAAUGCUUCCCCCACCUCCCCAAAGAGGAGGGCAAUCCUGUGGGCUGCUGUCUUUCUGUGCUCCCCCAGGAGAUGGAGAAGCUCGCUGUGGAGUGGCGUUCACGAGAGUCCUGAUGGCUGCUGCCCCAGGGAAGGAGAAGAAAGCGGAGGCAGAUUGGGCAGAGCGUGAGGCUCAGAGUGCAGAGAAUAAUACACGCAGGACCCAGCUGAAAACCCCACCAGAGACUCACAAGAAAGGGCAUGAGCUGAAUCUGGGGGCCACAAGAGGAGGAAGACAGAAGACAGACGAGUCCCAGGAAGGCUGUGGAAGAGCUGCUUUUGAGAAGUAAAAUCAAUUCCAUCCCAGGUAACCUAGCUGGCAAAGCUCGGAGCUGUUUCCCUAAAGCCUUGUGAGAGACACAAACCCGCAGAUAUGUGGACUCCACUCAACCAGAGACGUAGUUUGAAGACUCAUUUCUAGGCUGCCUAUUUGUGAAGCAGCAGUGAGGGCAGUUAAUGAGGCCCAUGCUGAGCUGUCUGUCAGAGUGGGUCAUCUGGGUGACCCACCAAAUCCUGCUGUAGGAUUUGGCAGGCUUUGUUGUGCAGAUGGCAAAUGCCACACAUGCUGACAAUGUCACCGGGGGUUUUGGAAGAAGAUGGAGGGUCCAAAUGGGAACUGAAGUGUCAUUGUGACAGCAUGGAAAGCUGCAUGGUGGUGGCUUCUCAGGUUCUCACCUUACAGGGGAAGUGUUUGCCUGGUGUGGAAGUAAAAUAAUUAACACCUCACAGGCUUCUGCAGGCCUCUCUAGCUAAGAAAUGCAUGCCAGCAUGACCUAAUGGCUCUCUGGGCCAGCACAAUUUAAUUAACAGAAGUGUGGGAGAAUUUGUGUGGAGGAUUAUUUUUUUUUUUAAAGGGAUACUGUCUAGAACUUCCUCUAGCUGAUUGUCCAGAGCCCUCCUAUAUGUUGUACUCUGUGUUACUGCUCUUUCAUGUCAUUUUCUACAGUCUUGCUCAUGUGGUUUGGUGAAGAAUGAUUGUAGAACCUAAAGGAACACCAACUGGAGCAGCCUCAUUUUGGCAGUUUGUAGCAGCAGAGGAGAUCACAGUGGUGUUCUGUCUUCUCCUGCAGCUGGAGUAACAAGCUGCUUCUGUUCUGACCAGGUCAGCACUGCCUUCUGGUCUUUCCAUGACACUGGGGGACUUUUUAUCAUUUGGGCUUUGGGAAGCCAGGCUAGACCUUGUGGGCAGGAUGGCCAAAUCCAUCCCUCAUGAGCUUUGUGACUGCUGUGGUUUCAGAGUAUACUUCUGUUGUGCUGGCUCCAGUCUUCAAGGCUACAAAUGAAUCUAUGUAAUAAUGUGUAUUUUGGAUAAUGCAGUAGUGUGUAUUAAAGCACUCUAGCCCUCGUAGAUUCAGCCAGAUAUCAUCUCUGAGCUUAGAAAAUGCUAACACGCUUGAGACCACCACUGUAAAUUACUUUUCUUUCCAAACUGCUGAAGAAGAACAGAAACUCGCAGAAGAAAGACUCUACCCCCUUUCAAACUGUAACACAGAGGUGUCCUUCACAACACCUGUGAAAGUAAGAGUUCAUUUGUGGCUAGGGGUUGCUUAUUUGGACUGCCAAGCUGCUGAAGCAUAAGUGCUUUUUCUUGCUUACCUGUGAUGAGUGUGACUACAGAGGGGUACUCCCGCAUUUUGCUGGCUGUGCAAGAUCUGAAACUAUGACCAGAGUAGGAUGCUUAGGGAGUCUUUAUCAUUCUCGUUCCUGCUGAAAGCCUGUGUAUGCAUCCUAAGUUUGGCAUGAACACUGCGGGUGAGUAAAAAAACGAGUGUUGUCCUUGUUUGAAGUCUGAUGUAGGUGUGGGUCACUCACAGCCCUGUCCCCUUUGGUGAGGGCUCUCUGAAGCGCAGCAUCAGAAACUAUCCUGACAGAUUUACCUUUUGUUUUCGAGAGAUAAUAAGGUGGGGUUAAGCUGCUUGCUACAACAGAGAUGUGUUUCCUUAUCCUAAAUUGAGGAUAGAAUAAAUCUCUUACUGAAUUUUCCUGGUUUGGGCUGAAGUGUGUUGUAGUGUCUUCUCUGUGCCUUUCAAAGGGAAGGAAGAUCCCAUAGAUGGGAUAUGACUGGUUAUCACGAAGACAGUAUGAAGUCUAAUGCUUGUUUAAACUCUAUCUAUAUUGUAUGCAUCUAUAGAUUAGAUGCUUAUCUCCCACCAAUACUUUUUUUUUUUUUAAACCUCAACACUGUGUUUUUACAUGAGAGAACAGAGUAUAUAGUAUAUAGAAAUAGUUCAGCCUGAGGAGAAACAGAUAGAUUCACAUGUGAAUCUAUCUUGCCAGUGGGAGUUCAGGCCCACUAAAUGGAAAACCUUUUAAAACAAAGUCCACUAUCAUUAGACAUUGAGGCUGAACAUGUCUCUUUCAUCCCUCCAUAAAAGAAAAAAAAAUCUCUUUGGAUAUGCUCAGUGUGCAACAGUUGAAGGAAACAGCCGCUUCCAAGCUUCAUUGUACUUUUUAGGAAGAACACAUCUCUGACCCUUGCAGCCUCCUGAAACAGGUUCCUAACUGCACAGAACCUGCCGCAGAGGCAGGCAGCCCAGGCAGAGUCUGACCUAACAAAAUGCAGAUGAAAGAGGUAAAGAUAGGAAAUAGAAGGAGCUGAGGACAGAAUUUGACAAAGAACAGACCAGAAGUUUAUAUUAAGAGAUUAAAGGCUUUAGAGCUUAAACUCUUCUUUAAUUCUUAAAACUCCCAACUCUUCUUUAACUUCUUUCUCAAUUACUAUCAUUCUACUAGCUCUGUACCUUCCAGAAGAGGUAUUUCAUUGUCAAAAAUAACAAUUUUCCACAUUUUGACUCUAGAAAUAGAAAACUCCAGAAAGAAUGAACAAAUCAAACACAUCACUUUUCUGCAUUCAGAUGCAUAAAGCCCAAGUGAACAUAAAAGGGAAGAGUUUGUUCCCCUAUGGUGCAUAUUCAAGUUGUUACUUUGAUUUAUAUCCUAAAAGCAGCUGGGGCUGACUUAUGUAAAGUGGAAUUUCUUCUUCCCCAGAGUUUGCUCCAGAUCUACAUUUGUCAGUUUUCCAGUUCCUCCCCACGUUAACAGUAUCCACACCUUGAAUGUGAUUUCAGCUCCAUCCACGUUCUCAGGGCAAACCAGUUGGCACAUUUCUCUACAGUUUAAUAGAACAAUGGUCACAGUAUUCACAAGUUAAUACAGAAAUUAAAGCUGACCCUAAUUAUGUUAGGUUCUAGGCAAGGACCACCCUUCCUUCCUCUCAGAAGCAGAGCAGCUCAGUUGUAGGAACGUAGCACUUACAACCUACAAAACAACGUUGGCUGAAAAUCCUUAUUGUUUGUGUGUCCCAUUUCACUCUCAGCCCUGAACAUGGAAAAACAAAGCCGACCUAGUCUAGUGGUAUACUACUGUGAAGGACUUCCAAAGGGGAAAUAGUACCAGUCUCCAAUCCAUGUGUUCUAGACAUAGUUUAACUCAUCCAAACAAAGCCUGAGCACUCCCAAUGCCCUUUUGGAGUGCUCUCCCAAUCGCUUCUCCACCCCAACAACGUUUCAGACUCUGCCAGCUCCACAUUCAUGAGAUAACACAGGCCUGUUGCAGUUGCGUAAGUGUUAGUUCAUACUGUGCUAGCAAUUCAAAGUAGAGGCUAAAAACUCCAGCCUCAACCACCUUCCUCUCCCUCUUCAGCUAAGUUGUGUUCAACCCUGCAGGUAUUUCAGCCUCUUCCCUCCAGUACUCAGGCCCCUGGCUGUUUUUGUGCUCUUACACUUGGAUUCCAGAUCACACCCCCAGAGCCAGUCAGACAAGGGCACCCCUCAGAGAACAAGCAUGCCAGAGGCUUUGCUUGUGCAAGAAAGAGAGGGGCCAGAAUCCAGCUCAAUUCAAGACUAGUUUUGGACAGAUUUGUGCUACAAAGGUUCCGUUGCAGCUCCCUAGCAGUAAGCACAAGAACUAAAAAACAAAACAACAACAAAAACCAAAAAAAAAAACAACAACAAACAAACAGGGAAAAAAGGGGGAUGAGAUCACGUGUUAUAUACUAACACCUGUAAACUACUUGCCAGCUAGCUCUAGAUCUGAUUUUUUGCAGACUCUCAAGUACAA